GGUUAAGCGACUAAGCGUACACGGUGGAUGCCCUGGCAGUCAGAGGCGAUGAAGGACGUGCUAAUCUGCGAAAAGCGCCGGCGAGGUGAUAUGAACCUUUGACCCGGCGAUGUCCGAAUGGGGAAACCCAGUGUGUUCCGACACACUAUCGUUAACUGAAUACAUAGGUUAACGAGGCGAACCGGGGGAACUGAAACAUCUAAGUACCCCGAGGAAAAGAAAUCAACCGAGAUUCCCCCAGUAGCGGCGAGCGAACGGGGAGCAGCCCAGAGUCUGAAUCAGCUUGUGUGUUAGUGGAAGCGUCUGGAAAGUCGCACGGUACAGGGUGACAGUCCCGUACACGAAAGCACACAGGUUGUGAACUCGAAGAGUAGGGCGGGACACGUGGUAUCCUGUCUGAAUAUGGGGGGACCAUCCUCCAAGGCUAAAUACUCCUGACUGACCGAUAGUGAACCAGUACCGUGAGGGAAAGGCGAAAAGAACCCCGGCGAGGGGAGUGAAAAAGAACCUGAAACCGUGUACGUACAAGCAGUGGGAGCACCUUCGUGGUGUGACUGCGUACCUUUUGUAUAAUGGGUCAGCGACUUAUAUUCUGUAGCAAGGUUAACCGUAUAGGGGAGCCGAAGGGAAACCGAGUCUUAACUGGGCGUUAAGUUGCAGGGUAUAGACCCGAAACCCGGUGAUCUAGCCAUGGGCAGGUUGAAGGUUGGGUAACACUAACUGGAGGACCGAACCGACUAAUGUUGAAAAAUUAGCGGAUGACUUGUGGCUGGGGGUGAAAGGCCAAUCAAACCGGGAGAUAGCUGGUUCUCCCCGAAAGCUAUUUAGGUAGCGCCUCGUGAACUCAUCUUCGGGGGUAGAGCACUGUUUCGGCUAGGGGGCCAUCCCGGCUUACCAACCCGAUGCAAACUACGAAUACCGAAGAAUGUUAUCACGGGAGACACACGGCGGGUGCUAACGUCCGUCGUGAAGAGGGAAACAACCCAGACCGCCAGCUAAGGUCCCAAAGUCAUGGUUAAGUGGGAAACGAUGUGGGAAGGCACAGACAGCCAGGAUGUUGGCUUAGAAGCAGCCAUCAUUUAAAGAAAGCGUAAUAGCUCACUGGUCGAGUCGGCCUGCGCGGAAGAUGUAACGGGGCUAAACCAUGCACCGAAGCUGCGGCAGCGACGCUUAUGCGUUGUUGGGUAGGGGAGCGUUCUGUAAGCCGUUGAAGGUGGCCUGUGAGGGUUGCUGGAGGUAUCAGAAGUGCGAAUGCUGACAUAAGUAACGAUAAAGCGGGUGAAAAGCCCGCUCGCCGGAAGACCAAGGGUUCCUGUCCAACGUUAAUCGGGGCAGGGUGAGUCGACCCCUAAGGCGAGGCCGAAAGGCGUAGUCGAUGGGAAACAGGUUAAUAUUCCUGUACUUGGUGUUACUGCGAAGGGGGGACGGAGAAGGCUAUGUUAGCCGGGCGACGGUUGUCCCGGUUUAAGCAUGUAGGCGGAACGAUUAGGUAAAUCCGGUCGUUUUUUAACGCUGAGGUGUGAUGACGAGGCACUACGGUGCUGAAGUAACAAAUGCCCUGCUUCCAGGAAAAGCCUCUAAGCAUCAGGUAACAUCAAAUCGUACCCCAAACCGACACAGGUGGUCAGGUAGAGAAUACCAAGGCGCUUGAGAGAACUCGGGUGAAGGAACUAGGCAAAAUGGUGCCGUAACUUCGGGAGAAGGCACGCUGAUAUGUAGGUGAAGCCCCUGCGGGUGGAGCUGAAAUCAGUCGAAGAUACCAGCUGGCUGCAACUGUUUAUUAAAAACACAGCACUGUGCAAACACGAAAGUGGACGUAUACGGUGUGACGCCUGCCCGGUGCCGGAAGGUUAAUUGAUGGGGUUAGCGGCAACGCGAAGCUCUUGAUCGAAGCCCCGGUAAACGGCGGCCGUAACUAUAACGGUCCUAAGGUAGCGAAAUUCCUUGUCGGGUAAGUUCCGACCUGCACGAAUGGCGUAAUGAUGGCCAGGCUGUCUCCACCCGAGACUCAGUGAAAUUGAACUCGCUGUGAAGAUGCAGUGUACCCGCGGCAAGACGGAAAGACCCCGUGAACCUUUACUAUAGCUUGACACUGAACACUGGUCCUUGAUGUGUAGGAUAGGUGGGAGGCUUUGAAGCGUGGACGCCAGUCUGCGUGGAGCCGUCCUUGAAAUACCACCCUUUAAUGGCUGGUGUUCUAACGUAGACCCGUAAUCCGGGUUGCGGACAGUGUCUGGUGGGUAGUUUGACUGGGGCGGUCUCCUCCCAAAGAGUAACGGAGGAGCACGAAGGUUAGCUAAUCCUGGUCGGACAUCAGGAGGUUAGUGCAAUGGCAUAAGCUAGCUUGACUGCGAGAGUGACGGCUCGAGCAGGUGCGAAAGCAGGUCAUAGUGAUCCGGUGGUUCUGAAUGGAAGGGCCAUCGCUCAACGGAUAAAAGGUACUCCGGGGAUAACAGGCUGAUACCGCCCAAGAGUUCAUAUCGACGGCGGUGUUUGGCACCUCGAUGUCGGCUCAUCACAUCCUGGGGCUGAAGUAGGUCCCAAGGGUAUGGCUGUUCGCCAUUUAAAGUGGUACGCGAGCUGGGUUUAGAACGUCGUGAGACAGUUCGGUCCCUAUCUGCCGUGGGCGCUGGAGAAUUGAGGGGGGCUGCUCCUAGUACGAGAGGACCGGAGUGGACGCAUCACUGGUGUUCGGGUUGUCAUGCCAAUGGCACUGCCCGGUAGCUAAAUGCGGAAAAGAUAAGUGCUGAAAGCAUCUAAGCACGAAACUUGCCCCGAGAUGAGUUCUCCCUGAGACUUUAAGUCUCCUGAAGGAACGUUGAAGACGACGACGUUGAUAGGUCGGGUGUGUAAGCGCAGCGAUGCGUUGAGCUAACCGAUACUAAUGAACCGUGAGGCUUAACCUU
rnacentral:rRNA from 1 species